AUUCAUAUAAUUUUUUAAUAUUAUAAAAUGUUAAAAUACAUUACCAGGUGUCAAGUGUCAGCACAGUAUGACUCACAAUCGAAACAUAGCAGGAGUAUUGUUAAUAUGUAUCUAGCGGCAGUGAGAUGUAUUAGUAUGUACGGCUCAAAAAAUAUGCAUUUACUUACCAAUACGAAGCCUUACUGAAAUUUAGCAAUAUUUACACUAUUACUCUAUGACAAUCGACUUGAUAA